UGGUAGGAUCCUUUAUUAUUUCAUGGGUCCCAAAUUAAACGAAAGGAUUCCUUUUUCAAUAUCUGCUUUUAUAAAAUAAAUGAAAAUUAUUGGAAGUUUCAGAUUAGUACCCAUUGUCUCCGUUAAGUGCUCAUCAAGUAAUUUGCCCCAAAUGAAAUUUCUAUGAAAAUAACAUGUCUUAGUCAAUUAAGCUUGGGGUUACUGCUAUAUAAACACCAGAUUCACAUAUAAAAUGAAUAAGAAAAUAAUAUGGCUUCAAAUUAUAAGUUUUUAGUUAUUAGGGAAGUGCUUUUGGUUUUCAUUCUUCUGCUGGCUUUGGGAUCCGUGGCAUCAAGGGAACUGCUAGACGUGCACAAUCGUAUGCCUUAUGACGUGAAGAACCGAGUGUUAUUCGAAACUCUAACUCGUAAGGAAGCUGCUCCCCCUGAAGAGAUCCAUCCAUGACCGUCAUCGUCCGACUCCGAAUAAGUACGUGUGAAACAAUUCUAUUUUAAUUUAACCAAUGCAUUGAUAAUCAUGUCUUAUGUACAACUAAUCAAAUAGCUUGUUUCCAUAUCAAAAAUAAAAAAUAAAUUCAGUAAUUGAUUAGUGCAGAUAAUGGCAAAUGCCUAGUAGUUUAAGAUGAUAUUCAUGCGCGAUAUAAUAAUGAACAUUUACUAAUUAUUAGUUUUAUAUAAUUUUUCUGAAAAAUGCAUUUCACAGCCAUCAUAUUUUGUAUGCCUCAUGUAAGACAACAUGUUGGAAGUGAGGCUCGCACUGUAACAAAUUUAUAGUUUCAUAUAUACAUGUGGUAAACAUGAUAAGGCCCAACUUGUGGUCAGCUAAGUUUUUUUAAUAUAUAUUCACUUAUAUAGUUUUAUUAUA